rnacentral:rRNA from 1 species
AACGAACGCUGGCGGCAUGCCUAACACAUGCAAGUCGAACGAGAUCUUCGGGUCUAGUGGCGCACGGGUGCGUAACGCGUGGGAAUCUGCCCUUUGGUUCGGAAUAACAGUUGGAAACGACUGCUAAUACCGGAUGAUGACGAAAGUCCAAAGAUUUAUCGCCAGAGGAUGAGCCCGCGUAGGAUUAGCUAGUUGGUGUGGUAAAGGCGCACCAAGGCGACGAUCCUUAGCAGGUCUGAGAGGGUGAUCAGCCACACUGGGACUGAGACACGGCCCAGACUCCUACGGGAGGCAGCGGUGGGGAAUAUUGGACAAUGGGCGAAAGCCUGAUCCAGCAAUGCCGCGUGAGUGAUGAAGGCCUUAGGGUUGUAAAGCUCUUUUACCCGGGAUGAUAAUGACAGUACCGGGAGAAUAAGCUCCGGCUAACUCCGUGCCAGCAGCCGCCGUAA